rnacentral:misc_RNA from 1 species
UCCGAUUUGUCACCGGCAGUCUCCUAUGAGUCCCCGUCUUUCACGCUGGCAACAUAGGACAGGGGUUGCGCUCGUUGCGGGACUUGACCCAACAUCUCACGACACGAGCUGACGACAGCCAUGCACCACCUGUGCACGAGCCCCGAAGGGCUGCCGUAUUUCUACGACAUUCCCGCGCAUGUCAAGCCUAGGUAAGGUUCUUCGCGUUGCGUCGAAUUAAUCCACAUCAUCCACCGCUUGUGCGGGUCCCCGUCAAUUCCUUUGAGUUUUAAUCUUGCGACCGUACCCCCCAGGCGGUCAACUUCACGCGUUAGCUGCGGUACUGAGAAAUCGCUCCCCCAGGCACCUAGUACCCAUCGUUUACGGCGUGGACUAC